rnacentral:rRNA from 1 species
GCCAUGCCGCGGACAUGAAGAAGGCCUUCGGGUUGUAAAGUACAAUCAGCGGGGACCUAGGGAGUAAAGUUAAUACCUUUAAUCAUUGACGUUACCCGCAGUUCGAAGCACCGGCUAACUCCAGUCCAGCAGGGGCGGUAAUACGGUAGGUGCAAGCGUUAAUCGGAAUUACUGGCCGUAAAGCGCACGCAGGCGGUUUGUUAAGUCAGAUGUGAUAUCGCUGGGCU